UGCUGUUAGUAGCAAGCCUAGAGAUUUACUGCAGGGACUGUUGGGAAGCCCGUAUCCCGUAGAGCUUUUAAUUAAUUAAUUUAUCGAGCAAGAAAGGCUAUCUUGGGGAAACAUAACGUAGGGACAACAUCUUUGAGCAAAAGAAAUGGAGGCUCUUCCUUCUGGGAAUAAUCAUGGUGUGUGGGAAACAGUUCAAGUGAGUUCCCUCUGCCAGUGUCCUUGUAUGGGGUCCAGACUGGGCUAUGUCCCUGUCCAAAGUAAAUAGGUAAAUGGGAGGAGGUUGUCAGGAGCUGUUUUGCUGCCUCUCUAAAGUGGGGGAGAGAGACAGACAGAGACAGAGACAGACAGAGAGAGACAGAGACAAAGAGACAGACAGACAGAGACAGAGACAAAGAGACAGACACAGAGACAGAGACACAAGUGUCAAGGCAGGUUGACAGAUUUCCUGACUGCUGAGCCAUGGAGUGAUAAGAGGAGGUUCGUGUGAGGCUCAAGGUGAGGGGCUGAAGAUUCUGUUGACCUUGGUGGAAGGAACAGAGGCAUUUGGGAGAGCAAAUUAUUUCUGUUAGCUUCUGGCUUUGUUUCCCACGAUACUAUAAAGUAUAUAAGGCCUAAGAAAAACCUGAGACUGCCACAGUAUUGACAGGAAUUUGGUCUCUGCUUCUUCUUUUCUGUCUUUCCUGUAAUCAUCCUCACUUCCCCCUCAGAAGACUGUUCGACCUUGCACCAGAGGUAACUACUGCUAAACUUGACUAGGUUUUGGAUCGCUAUGGAAACACACUUCUGGGCAUAUCUAUGAACCAGUGUCCAAAAAGAUUUCAUGGGAAGGGAAGACCACCUGGAAUAUGGGAAAUCCUUUUUUUUUUUUUUUUUUUUUUUGGGACUGGGGAGUCCCAGACCAAGUUAGAUGAGGACAGCUUUCUGUUUGACUGUGGAUCUAAUUUGACCAGCCAGCUUUCCCUAAUCAGGGCUUCUUUUCUAAGUUUGUUUGUCGGGUAUGUUUCAUGGCAAUGAGAAAAGUAACUAGUUAAGGGCCCAUCUGGGUUUCUACCAACCUAAGAUCUUGCAUGGGAGAGGCUUGGAGUGGUUAUAGCGAGGCCAGAGGUAGGCCCAGAAAUGGCAAGGCUUACCACACUAGACUCUCCUGAUGGGGUUUAGGAGAGACAGAGAGUGUGGAGUUCCAGAAGACCAGCAUCCAGGGCAACAAAGCAGACCACUGCUGGGCUCUGAUGAGGGCUCCGAUCAUGUCUUUCAGAGUUUCUCUUUCCACAAACACCAUAUUUUCAUUAAGACUUUGUAGAUAACAUAUGUGCUUUGGUAUGUGUGCUAUUCUUUUAUGAAACAGGCAAAGGGGAUUUGAACUGUCUUCUACAUUAGUCUAGAUUGAUUUUACCUAACUCUCCGUGUCUGCCAAUCAAAUGGCUCCUAUUACAUCACAGUUGUGGACAAGUAGAAGACUAACCAUAACCAGAAACCAUGCCUAACAGGGACGUGUUGGGCUCAGGUGCUACCCUUUUCUUCUUAGUCAGCAAUAGCUCCAUCUCAGAAGUACAGCACAGUAAUUGUCAAAACAGCCCUAGGGACUGAGUGGCACCUCCAGGCCCUUUAUUUUAUUUCUUAACUGGACAGACUUUCAUUCCUGGUGGGAGGCAUGCAUGACAGCCUCACUCUGAUCCCUGAGUGUUCUCUGGCCACUGUGUUCACUGCCACUCCUACUUUCUUUCUCAGCUGAUUAAGCCACCUGUCUGUGCUCUCGCCACCAGUGACUCAACUAGGGGCUCAUCAUGCUUAUCAGCAGCCUUUAAACUCGUGGUUCUCAACCUUCUUAAGCCCUUCCAUACAGUUCCUUGUGUUAUGGUGGCCCCCAACCAUAAAAUUAUUUUCGCUGCUACUUCAUAACUGUAAUUUUGCUACUGUUAUGAACCAUAAUGUAAAUCUAUUUCAAUCUGCUCUCAGGUCUCUAGAAGUCUCACGUUUGGAAAGCAGUAAGUGUACAUGGUACAAUGGCAGCAACUGUGUACAGGGUACAAUGACAGCAAGUGUGUACAGGGUACAAUGGUAGCAAGUGUGUGCAUGAGACAAUGACAGUUUUCUUUAUGACAGAGACCUGUUUACAAAUGAAAGUUAGUUCAAUUAAAAACAAUACCUGUAUAGGAGUUAUUUAAGAGAAAUUACUAAUAUCUUUCCCAUAUCCAGCUCUUUCAAAGGGAUUAACCAUUAAGUGUGGCUCCCACUCUGUCCCAGUGCUGCAGGCUCUCGCUUGAGUCCAGAGCAGAAGGAAGAAGGGAAGGUGAGAGACAUGAGAUCGCUGUGCCUGAGAUUGCAUGUGCUUAGCUUUGGGGCGUCCCUUCCCUGGUACGUUCUUUCCUUCAGCUCUAGUGGUUAUAUAAUUUGUCUGCAGCCCUUGUUUCGAAUGACUCUGUGUUCCAGAUUGUCAUUAAGAACCUUCCAGCUAGGCGGGACAUUUAAUGAAAUAAAAGCCCAUCCUUGCAGUCUUUCAAAACAGUGGUGCUUGAUUUUAUCAUGGGUUUUCUUUCCAUUCCCUUUCCCUUUUAGCUUAACUAAGUUGCUACACAGCGGUAGUGCUAUUUGAGCCCAAGUCACAUGAACUCAAGCCUGAACUAUAAAAGGAUGCUUCAAAGUAAGAGUUUAUUGAUUCUUGAAGAUGACAAUAAUGUAGUUCUCUUUUUUGUGGAAUACCAAACAACAUUUAUUAGUUUUUAAUUUAGAAUUUAACCAAGAUGUUCCUUAGUUCUUGCCUAGCAUGUAGAAGGGCCUGCGUGCUAUCCCCUAGUACACAUAACGAGAACAUUUUUUUUUUUGAGACAGGAUCUCACUAUGUAUCUCUGGUUGCCCUGGAACUCAUUAACUAUAUAGACCAGGUCGAGCUUGAACUCACAGAGAUCUGCCUGCCUUUGUCUCCUAAAUGCUAAGAUUAAAGGUGUGCGCCAUCAUGCCAGGUAAGACUUUCUGAUUAUAACAACUGUCCUCAAACCUUUGGAUUGGAUCUCCUUCUUACUUUUAAAAAUUACUGAGAGAUUUUAUUUAAAAUUUGGAAAUUUAAAAAGUGCAUAAUGAUAUAGCUGAAGUUAAUCUACUCUAGAGGCUGAAGCAAGAUUGCUCUAACUAAUAUCUUACAAGUCAAUAUGAAAUAAUGUAUUUGCAUGAAGUAGCCCUAUUUGCUACACGGAAACUUUAAUGAAAUACACAUUAUUUUACAGUUUUGAAAUUCUUUUUUUUAAAAAUAAAGAUCUAUUUACUUAUUUUAUGUAUGUGAGUACACCGUAACUGUCUUCAGACACACCAGAAGAGGGCGUUGGAUACCAUUACAGAUGUUUGGGAGCCACCAUGUGGUUGCUGGGAUUUGAACUCAGAACCUCUAGAAGAGCAGUCAGUGCUCUUAACCACUGAGCCAUCUCUUCAGCCACAAGUUUUGAAAUUAUUAGAGAUAGUUGACUUAAAAGAGACCAUGGUUUAUCAAACUGCAUUUGUAUCUAAUGUCUUAACAGAAACAAAUCAGCUUUGACUCAGGGGCCCUGAUAAUGUCAGCCACCGUUGAAAACCACUGGUUUAGAGCAGCAUUAGGCUCAUGUAGGAAAAAUGACAUAAUAAUCAUGAUUAACAGUGAAUACAUUUAGAAAGCUUAGAUACUAGUCGAUUAGUUAUUAGGACAUAAUUUUACAAUGUAUUUUACACUGUUUCUUCUCUGGGUUUGAGAGAUGACUCCGUGUUUAAGAGCAUGUGGCUCUUUUGGAGGAUCUGGGUUCAAUUCCCAGACCCAACCUUAUAGCUCAGAACCAUCCUAACUGCAAUCUCAGGGGAUUCUGAUCUCAAGGGGCACCCGGCAUGCAAACGGUGCACAUGCAUAUGUGCAAGCAAAAAAUUCAAUAAAUAUAAAAAUGUCUUUAAAUCCUAUUUUGGCUUAGAAAUUGAGAUUCAUUUUUAAAGUCCUGAAAAGUACUUUUAUAUGUACUUGAUCUUCCUGAGUGCUGGUAACAAAGAUAUGUAGAGAGAGAGAGACAGGGGAGGAUCUUAGAACUUGUCAGUUGCACGUUUACUGUGCCCCCACCACAGUAGAUAGAAUUAGCAUGUUCAGUAGGAAGAGUUCAAAAUUUUGAGUUCUACGUAAUUUUAGAGCUGACUAGUUUUGUAAAUCUGGGAAAAUUACUUCACUCCUCUGAGCCACACCCCGUGUGUGUGUGUGUGUGUGUGUGUGUGUGUGUGCCGCCCCACUCCCCCGCCGUGUGCGCGCACGCGUGCUUGAUACUGACUAUAACUAGGUAUCAAGCCCUCCCACAUUCAGCUCCAAUAUCAAUAGCUAGUGAAUUCCACCUGGGAACAGGUGGGGGCAGCAGUGAGCUGCAUGAGCAGGAAAGCAGGUGACUGCACUUAAGACCCAAGGGGGCGAACUUCAGGCUGGAUCUAAGCAUGAUGAAGCAGUGGUAUGCAGAAGCCCGGAAGACCAGAGCAAAUGCAGGAUUAAGACACACAUAAGCAGAACCGGAGGUGAGUAUGAGAAUUAAAGCCAAACGGUCACAAGGUGUAAGACCACCAAGCAGAGCCAGGCCAAGGCCUGGAUAGUGUAUUCAGGUCCUGCAGAGAAACCCUGCUCUCUGCUUGAGUUCAAUGAUGAAGAAACACUCCAAAGUGAUGGCUUGGGCUGAAGGCAUAGGCCUAUCCUUAAAACAUAAUCUGCACAAUGGAAUGGGGACUUCAUUCACAAUUAAUAGGCCCAGCUAAGGUAAAGGGGAGUGUUUCCCCCUUCUUCAGCCCCCUUUUAUCCUUUCUCUUAUAACAAAGUGGGUUUUUUUUUCCUUUUCUGUAGGUCAUCUCACCUGAGGUGACCAACUUCUUGUCUGGUCUGGAACUGGGAGUUUCUCUGGCACUUGGCACUCUGUUUUAAAGGUGGACAAAUUCCAGGUGACAUAAGAUGAGCUAGUCACUCUACCCCACGUGAAGAUGGUUCUCAGCUGGAGCAAGCCAGUUGGAUGGAUGUUUUGAACAGCCAAUGGCCCUCGUCUCACUGAAGGGAGCACACCUGUCAGAAGACAGAAUGAAUCCGACCCCAGACUGCAGAUACAUCAUGACCAGCCAGCCUCAUGCUCUCCAGCCCACGAUGGAAUGGAUCCCUUUCAAAUGAAAGCCGGAGCAAACCCUUCCUUCCUGGAAUUGUUUCUGGACUGGUAUUGUGUCAGCAAUGUGAAAACAGUUGAUACAAAUGAGAGGUCAAUAAAGCAGCCAACAUGUCACAAUA